UGUGUUGUAGCUCAGUGGCAGAGCACUUGCCUUGUAUGCAUGAGGCCCUGGGUUUGGUCCUCAAUACCACAU
rnacentral:tRNA from 1 species